rnacentral:rRNA from 1 species
AACGAACGCUGGCGGCGUGCCUAAUACAUGCAAGUCGUGCGAGAAAGUGGGGGCAACCCCGCGAGUAAAGCGGCGAACGGGUGAGUAACACGUAAGGAACUUUCCUUUAAGUCUGGAACAACACUGCCAACGCGGUGCUAAUACCGGAUAGUAUCAUGUGACCGCAUGGUCGUAUGAUCAAAGAUGACCUCUCCUUGGAAGUUAUCGCUUAGAGAUGGCCUUGCGUCCCAUUAGCUAGUUGGUGAGGUAACGGCCCACCAAGGCAGUGAUGGGUAGCCGGUCUGAGAGGACGAUCGGCCACAUUGGGACUGAGAUACGGCCCAGACUCCUACGGGAGGCAGCAGUAGGGAAUUUUGCGCAAUGGGCGAAAGCCUGACGCAGCAACGCCGCGUGAGUGAUGAAGGUCUUCGGAUUGUAAAGCUCUGUUGAGUGGGAAGAAUGAUCUUUUGUCUAAUAAACGGAAGAUGUGACGGUACCACUCGAGGAAGCCCCGGCUAACUACGUGCCAGCAGCCGCGGUAAUAC